GAGCGGGGCGAAGCCAGAGGAAACUCUGGUGGAGGCUCGAAGCGAUACUGACGUGCAAAUCGUUCGUCUGACUU
rnacentral:rRNA from 1 species